ensembl:lncRNA
UGACAGCUGGGGACACAGGCAGGAGAUGCACUGUGGAGGAACCAAAGGCCAUUGAGCAAGCAAAGCAAGGAGCAGAGGUUAUAAUGCAGUGCUACUCACCCAUCUCAUCCCACCAGAGAGCUUCCUUUCCUGAGGGAACUGCUCUCUGACCACCUCGUGUCUUGCUGGGCCCACUCAGGGUGUGGUUGUCAUGAGUGAGGUGAGAAAAAGGCCAUAUAUUUCCUACAACCAGCCUCAGAAAGAAGCAUGCCCUGACUUUCUGGCUCUCCCUUGGCUGGGAUGAGGCUCAGGCACCACAAUUCCUCAGUCUGGCCCGCCUCAGACCCAUCAGGAUAUCUCAAUGGGACUGUGCUCCCUUUGCUCAUAGGCUGGCACAGGCAGGAUUUACCUUUUGGCGUCUGAUUCUUUCUCCCUCUUCCCUAAUUGGUUCCGUUAAUUUAUUGCGGACAGGAGCUUGUUCUGCCAAGUACUAAUUGCAAAGGUUAUUGUUUCUGCCCUUUUUAAAGCGUGGCAGGAAAAUCUGCAAUUCCAUCCCAUGAAAAACAAAACAAAAAAAGCCAAAAGUUUUUGGACUGGAUGUAGACCCCUCCCGUGCAGUGUUUGCACUGCAGAGCAUGUGCUGCUGUGCCACUGCCUUCCUGCUACAGGAGGAUGAUCAGAGGGCUGGAGCACCUCUCCUGCGAAGAUAGACUGAGGGAACUGGGCUUGUUCAGCUUGGGGAAGAGUAGGCUCCGGGGAGACCUCACUGUGGCCUUCCAGUAUUGCAGAGAGUUUACAAUCAGGAGAACCGACUUUUUACGUGAUGUGGUAGUGACAGGGCAAGGGUGGACAGCUGUAAAUGAAAAGAAGGGAGAUUUAGGUUAGAUGUCAGGGAAGAAUGAUUUUACUCAGAGGGUGGUGAGGCCCUGGCACAGGCUCCAUGUCUGGAGGCAUUCAGGGCCAGGAUGGAUGGGAUUCUGGGCAGCCUGAUCUAGUGGAUGGCAACCCAACCCAUAGCAGUGGGGCUGGAACUGGAUGAUCUUUAAGAUCCCCUCCUACCUAAGCCAUUCUAUGAUCAUUCCCUGGAUGUUGGUGUUGUUUGAGUUGUACUUGGAUUAGCUUGAGUUGGCCACAUUCUUUUCCUGGUGGAGGGAAGCAGACACACUUUAUCCUUUGGAACCACUCUGGACGAGUUUUCCUCUUUUUCCUGGCUGGAUAACCUGGGUUCCUUGGGUGAAGUGGGCUUUCUCCAAAGCCAGGCAUUCGCCCAACGUGUGAGAAAGGGAACAGUUUCUUCUUGUCUGCCUCUUCUCCAGAGCUGCCAUUUGCUGCCAGAGCUUCAGCAUCUGCCUGGAUUUUAGGAUGGGCAGAAGCCAUCUAGCCCAAGUGCCUGGCAUUGCAGUUCUGCUGCUGAAGGGUGACAACCCCCUCUGGCAAAGCCCGGAGCCUUUCCAGUGGAUUCCUAUAUUGCUGUAAAACUUGGCUUGGAAAACUUGGCUCUCCAUGCUGGAAAUCUGAAUGUUGAAGCCCUUGAGGCUACAGCUGAGGAGUUCUUCCUCCUCUGCUUGACAGUAGGUAUUCAGAGCAUGCACAGGGCUGUGCUUCCAUCGUGUUUUGUGUGGUGUCUGUCCCUUGCUGUUCUGUAUUUGCUAGCCCAGGCUUUGUUCCCACUGCAAUAUUUACUCUGGCUUGUUUCCUGUUUAUCACAUAUCAUGGCUGGAGUUUGUUUUUGUUCAGCAGCUCAGAAGCCUUUGGAAAUUAGUGUUUAUAAACAGAGGGAUGUUUGGGGCCGCAUUUGGAUCCACAGUAAAUCGGCAAACGGCAGUGUUGCCUUGUACAGAUUACAGAUAUGACUUUGUACUGUUCCUUUUCUACUUUGCCCUCUGUCCCAGUAUCCCUCUCAUUUGAUCUGUUCUCCUGUACAAAGCUCAGACUUUCCCUUUGGUGCUGUCUUACUGCUGGCACUCCCCACCCCUCACUGGGCAGACGUGCUUGUGGUAGCAGGUUAAUAAAAUAGUUGAGCAGCAUUUAGUUUCCACUGCACAGCCAGCCUAGAUGGCAUCUGUGGGCAGCGCUUUUGUGUGAAGGAAGCACAGUUAAAGUCUAGAAUCUAAGGAAAGAAGAGCAUAUAUCAUAUUUAAAGGAGAUUUUGAGCUUACGGUAAGAAGGAGAAUUAUAUUUUAUAUCAUAACUUUAAUAGCUGAGGAGCUGUAUCUCAAAGUGCUUUACGAAGGGAUGAGGCAGAUAGUGAUAGUUCAAGCAACGUGUAGGAAAACGUGCCAGCCAUAUGUGUAGCUGUAUCUCACACGCAGUCUUGGAAAUAAUUUAUUUUUAUUGAAGGGAUGAAUUUGCCAGAACAUCAAAGCUGUCUUCUGCACUUUGGAAGAAGUGCCACGUUGUCUUUAAUCUAAAAGGCUGGUGACAGGAGGGUCUGCCUCACCAGCUAUCUCCUUCUCUUCCCAAACUCGUCCUGCGUGUUGGUGAAUGGAGGCCAGGCUCAACAUCAGCACACGUGUGAAUGAAGAUUCACUUUUUUCCUGUCAGGCUUCUUUUCUUCUGUCCAUCCUUCCUGCUGCCGAGCCUCACACACUUCAAGGCCAGGCUGGAUGGGGCUGUGAGCUACCUGGGCUAGAGGGAGGGUGUUCCUGCCUGUAGCAGAGGGUUGGAAUCAGGUGAUCUUAAAGGUCCCUUCCAACCCAUAUGAUUGGAAUGAUUCUAUGAUUUUAUGGAACUCACGUAUUUGUUUUCUUCCUCAAUCUUGGCUGCUUUUCCCCUGUCCCUUGCGAUGUGUUCUUUCCUUAGGCUUAAUGCAAACACCUGGCCAGGACGGAAGUUUGAUCCUGCAAGAGCCAAGCAAUGCAGCAGCUUCAUCUCAUUGGGCAGAAGAUAAGCACUGCACAUGCAGAUCUUCCAGAUGUCCCAGGACUUGUCCCAGGAAUCUUCAUACGCCCUCUGAAAGCCAGUUGUAAUGGAAAGGCUGCUUCAUGUGAUGCAUCGAACACGUUUCAUUUUGUGGCCCUCAAAUUGAGCAAAAAGGGCUGUCAGAGCAAGGCUGCAGGAUUCAGGCUCUGACCUUCACACCCUGCUUUCUCCUGUUCUCGCUGGUACUGUGUGCUGAGGGGAGGCUCCUGCAGCACCUGCCCUGGGAUAAGGCAUCACGGUUUGUUCCUGUCCCUGCCUUCAAGGUCUGUGCCAUUCCACACGGCUGUUUCUCUAGGAGAAAGCGUGUGUUCAGCAGUGUGAACCGUCUCCACAGAGCUGCAGCCUGGCUGAGUAACACAAUCCUUCACCUCUCCCCUUGGAGAACAGAAGGGACAGAAAUGUACUGACUACAACUAGGGGCAUCCCAUCCUGGUUUUGCUGCUGUCACGAGCCCCUCUUGUUCUGUCGGAAGGGUUUUGUGUGCAGAGAGAUGUAGCAGAUAGGCUGUGUUUGCCUGGGCCAUGAAGAGUAACAACCCUUUACAAGCAAAGAUGCGCUCUUUAGCCUGCCAGGCAGUGUGCUUGGGAGCUCCACUGCUUCCUCAGGAUGUCCACAAAACGUCAUCCAACAAGAUGGCACCUACCAGCUGCUCUCACCUGGGUGGGCAAUGUGAGCCACUGUGUGCUCUGCCGGCCCUGUGCACAGUGAGGGGCGCUGGUGGUGUGAAUGGGAGAAACCAUAAAGGCAGUUAGAGUGGGAAGGGAGAGGAAUUGCACCAUCCGUUAUCCAACUUGAGCAAAGUGACGUGAAGAAGGAUAUUAUUUUAGAAAGUUUAUCUCUUUAGUAUCUAUGGUGACAAGAUGCUUAUCGGAGUAAGACAGACUCACAGGCUGUCUGCUCCUUGUUAUCUCAGUGUAGGAUGACAGUAUAAGUAUCACGUCUAGAAAUGUUAUCUAUCCUUUAUUAUUUCACUUGUGAGGGUCUAACAGGAGUGUUAUCAGGGUGUUUACAAUCAAAACACGUGCGGCUCAAGUGAUAAAAAGGAGAACAGACAUCUGAUCUCCAAGGAUAUGAAGACAAUACAGCCUUGAGCAGGAGGAGAUGGAUCUUAUUGGAAAUGGUUUGUCGGGCUGGGAAUGGACAAGCAAGCCCGCGUGAUUGCUCACAUCAUAAGCUUGAGAGAUGGGAUGGGGGAGAAGCACGCGUACGAGCGCACGCGGUCUCACAGAAAAUGAAAAGGCGAUUGUAUCAACAGCACUCUCAGCUGAAAGAGAAAUAUUUUCCAAUAAUUUCGUUACGAUUUGAUGUAUUCUGUGCUCUCCUCUCCCUUAGAGCGGUAAUGUGGCGAGCUGGCAGGACCAACAAGUGCCGUAGAGUUGCUUGGAGUGAGUCAGAAGCUGAGAAAGCUUACCCAGGCUCGGAGGGUGGAGAGCAGACAGCUGUUUUAGCUCUCCCCUCCUGGCUGUCAAAGAGGAGUUGGUCCUUGUAUGCAAGAUCUUAAACCACGUGUUGGGAGCUCAUGCAUGGAGCAGAGCAGCGGUAUCAGAGGGGAUCCGAGUUGCUUGGAGCCCUGCUUGUGUGAUUCACCGGUGGCACUGAAGACCUUCCCCUGCAGGCUGGAUCCUGGACAGCGCUCCCAUCCCUGCACCUCCAACCUCAGUGCCCGGGUGGUGGAGCCAGGAGGUUCUGGAACAAGGCAGCAAAACUUGCUCGGUGUAGACAAAGCCGUGUGACAGUCCCACCUAACAGCAACCAUGCUACUGGGAACGCAGACAAAGGUGUCACUGUGAUUAAUGGGGCACUCAUCUGAGCACCGCGUCCAGGAGCACAGGUUGCACCUUGCCCUGGUGGCCCGGCUUUUGCAGGCUUUGUCUGCUGUGAGUCCUGCUCAGAAAUGGCUGGAAGGAAUUCAAGGACAGAAGCAAAAAGCAUGGGGCUUAGCCUCAGACUCCCUCAGGAAGGGAAGGACGUGCAUCCUGCCUGUCCUGUGCAUACGGUGUUCCUCUCCAUGGACUCUUUCCAAGGUGUUGGUCUCCAGAAUGCUCCUGGCUCUGCUCUUCUUGGAAGCAAUGGUGAGACAUCUGUCAGUGUGAGCCCAUAGAGGGAAGCUGAGGUAGGUCACUUUGUAGUCAAUUCAGCUAACUUUUUCUCAAGUCUGAAUUAUCUCAAGGAAAAAUAUAGUUUUGGGUUUUCUGGAUGUGGUCCCAGCCCUAUUUCUGCAAAUGUGGCAUCUCUCAGUUAGGAGAGGGCAGUGCGAGAGUGGGGUGAGGCAGCAGGUCCCUUGCAAGCUGGUAUGCCACCAGAUCAUGCAGAUGGGUCAGGUUUUGUGCCAUGUUCAGGUUAAUGCUUUGCAAACACUAGGUCCAGACAAGAAGCAGUAGCUCCAAUAAUGUUUAAACGAGCUUAAAAUCUGGAGAUGAGAUCUGUAGGCCUUGUGCAAGGAGCAGGACAGUGGAGCACCCAGAAGUGGAUUUAAGACAUGUAGCUGCUUUGUUCUGGGCUUUGUUGAAACAGACUGCCCCGGGAGGUAGUGGAGUCACUGUCCCUGGUGGAGUUCAAGAGCAGUGGAGAUGCGACGCUGAGGGACAUGGUCAGUGGGCAUGAUGGGAUGGGCUGGGGUUGGAUUUGGGGAUCUUAGAGGUCUUUUCCAACUUUAAUGAUUCUGUGAUUCUAUGAUUAGAAGAAGGUGGAGCAGUCACAGGGCUCCCAUGGUUCAGAAUUUGUCCGAGAUCUCUCAGUGUCCCCAUGCUGAAGGGCAGUGCUUGUGCUGGGAUGGUUGGAGCUAACCUGAGAUCCUCCCCAGGUGCUGUGGUGUGGUGCAGGCUGCAUUGGCAGAGGAGGUGCAAUGGGCAAGCAACAAAGUGCAGGAUGGGCCCUGAAAUGCCCUGGGACAUUGGUUUGCCAAACUUCUGUGUCAGUGGUACUGUCAACAAUGUCCUGCCAAGAAGCAUCAGCAGGCAUGCAGCUGAGAUUUCCCUUCCCCCCCCCUCCUUUUCUUUCAUUCUAUUACUCCUGUUAAAUUCUCUUCACUGCACUCACUCUAAUGGUGCCUCAUUUGGUUUAUGUCCUUCAAACUCUUCCCUUUAAACACGUAGUCAUCACUUAGCUAAACUACUGUAUACAAAUAUAGCUCUUUUGAUCUUCCUACGUAAAUCAAUACCUCCUGCCCUUUAAUCUUCCUAGUGGCUUUCUCUGAACUCCCUGCAAUUUACUAUCCAUCUUUGAAAGUAAGUUGUCUUUUGGGCUUGAUUCUCUACAAUUUCAAACCUCCUGAAGUCCCAAUAGCUGCCCACAGCAGGUGCACACGGUGGUUCUCCACCACUCUGUUCAUGCUGAAGUAAUGCAAACACUUGCAUACAAGGCAUUUCAUGUCCCCCUGGGUUGGUGUGGCUCCCCAUGCCAGAAGUGAGUGGUCAUGCAGCACAAGCCCAUAUUUUCAAAGUAGUUCUCACAGGAUGCUAAAAGCCAUGGCGCAAGCCAUUGGGUGCCAUUUGGGGUUGAAGGAGAGUUGUAAUGGUUAGUUAUGGAGAGGACUUUCUGCAGUUAUUGGUGGCUGUAGAGAUGAAUCUCAUCUUCUCCAUAGCAGUAGAGCCUGUAGAUGCAAGCAAGCAAGCCCAAGAUAAAGAUUUGUCCCCUGAGAGUGGGCAAUGUAUGUGUCCCUUCCUUCACAGGACAGCUCACCUUACCUGGCUGCAGGUGGGACCUUUUGAUGGGGCUAGACCAUGGGCUCAGCAGGAAACCAGAUCUGGAAGCCCAUCCAGGGUGCAUGUCAUCUCUGUGCAGGGAAGGGUUGCCUUGUCAGCUGCUUUGCAGUGCCAGGAGCUCUGAGAAAUAACCUUGUGCCUUGCUUUGAUGCAAGUGUCAGACACAAGUCCAGCGCACUCUCUAACCCAUGUGUCCAGUCUGCUGGUUGUAUUAUGUUUAGUAAAUAAGGUUGUCACUGGAGUGGUCUCGAGGGCAAGAAUUAAGGAAUCUCUUAGGGAUUGAAGAGACAAUUGUACAGUUCUCCCCGUCCUUGCCUUGACAGUUACCUCCAGUUUUCCCCUGGGACCAUUCCACUCUUGAACUGGGAAUGCUGUGAUUCAUAGAAUCACAGAAUCACCAAGGUUGGAAAAGACCUCUGAAAUCAUCCAGUCCAACCACUCACCUACCCCCAGUAUUUCCCCACUAAACCAUGUCCCUCAGUACAACGUCUAGACGUUUCUUGAACAUCUCCAGGGAUGGGUCUCAACCACCACCCUGGGCUGCCCAUUUAAAACCAUUGCAGUAAAAUGUCUUUUUUUCCCCCUCAUCUUUCAAAGGGAGGGUUUAUAAUAGCAAUAACCCCUUCUUUUAGCAAUAACCCCUUCUUUUAGCAUUUCAUUAUGGGUCAAAUAAAAGCAUAUCAGAGCACGAGACAGAGAAUCUCACCACUCUGCUUGCCCCCAAAGGAUAAACAUAGUAGUGCUGCUACGGGCCCUAUAGCUUAAUUAGUUGCUAUUCUCUGCAGUUCCAAAAAAGGGUGAAAAAAAUCCUUUGCAAAGCCUAGGCAGGCUGUCUGUGUCAUAUUUCCUGUGUUCUUAGAGGUGUUAAUGAAUUCAUUAAUCACUUAAUGGCAAGGAGGGUCUUUGGGGACCAGCACUGCAAUUUACUGCUCCCAGGAGGCAGACUCUGUCACUGAUCUAAAGUUUCAGCUCCGCUAAUUUGUGCCAGCAGAGCCGCUGAGCUUCUGCCUGCAGCCCGCAAGCAUUGUGGCUACUGGGAGCAUCACAGCAGCACGCAAAGCAUCAGGGUAUGCUCACUUGGGAAGGUUUUGCAACGCGCAACGUUCUGGCUCUGAAAAGUUCAGAGCCCACAUGGAGGAAAGGAGGUGUUCCCCCAGCCUUGCAGUUGUGUUGCCUUAAUUCUUUUCAUUGGGAUAAGCUUGCUGCUAAGCCAGUCCUUGCAAUCAACUGGGGAAUGCAGCAGGAGCCUUGCUGACUUACAGGAAAUGCAAGCUAUGGAAGCGUGGCUGUAUAAUCUGGUCUGGGACUGCAGGCUAUGCAAUGAAAGGAGUCUGUGAAUCUCUUCUAAUUGAAGAGCGUCAGGCUGAUGUAUUUUGACUGAAACUGUCAGUUAAAAUGUGAAUUUGAAUGUUUGCAUUUCUGCUCUGCAGAAAAUGUUGAUUAUUUCAGUCUCUCGCCCUUGUUGCAGGAGAGUCACUUGUGCCAAAGUUCCCUACAAAAUGUCUCUUUUGGCUUCUUUCUCAUCACACGGCAGUUCAAGGAGAGGGGGACGUGAGCAGAGCCCUCCUCUCCGCUAAUUCCAUUCCACCAGCCUGUCAUCACGUUGCAAUUGCUGCUUCUAAAAGGUUUUUCUGCCUUGCUUUUCUGUGGCUGAGCUCCCCUUUCUAACUUCUGUCCGUCUUUCUCCUCGGUCUGUUGCUUUCCCAGGCUGGGAGUCAAAGAGGGCAAAGUACGUCAGAUGUGAGCAGGAGGGAGGGCAGAGUCCAUGGGUCAUGGCUGUCUGUGUGUGUGCACGUGCUCGCCUUCCACCGCUGGUACCCUCCUUGGAGUCAUUCCCACACUCAUGUUCUUUGCUCAACAGUUACUGUAGGGAGGAGAGAGCUGGAAGGCAGGACAGAAGCUACAUGUUGAAUCAAAGGAGAGAAGGCGGGAAUACAAAACCACUUCAUCGUGGAAAACACAAAGGGAGACAAUUUCAGUAAAUGCCAGAUGGUCAAAAUUAACCAGAGACGUGUAGAGCCCUACAUGUCCAACUGUUUGCUUUGGCAGAGAUUCUUCAGCUUUUCGAACAAGAGUCUCUGGGGCGCCCUUUUCUUCUCCUUGGCUUUCCUCCUCUCCUUUGCUCAUCCUUUGGACUCCUCACCCCACCCUUCUCCUCUGGCUGUUUUUCCUGCCUCUCCUCUCUCACUGCUGCCCAUGAGUCAUGUUGCACCUCAAAUGCCAGCUUGUGUUACGGUGAGGGGAGACCACUGCAAAGAAAUGUCCUCAUGCAACAACAGACUUGGAGGGCAUGCAAGGUGGUGGCUGCAGCUGUCAAGGACCACUGCCAGCACAGCCCUGUGGAAAUGCUGGAGCACUUCAACCCUGUGCUUGUUGUUGCUGUGGGUAUUAAUUUCUUCCUCCCCUCCCAAGGGCCUUGACUCAGCUUUGAUUUUUUUUUGUUUCAGCCAGGAAUCCAGAAGGAGUUCUUGCGGUUCAGUAAGCAGAGGAGCAUGCAUAAGUUGCUUACCCUGAUGGAGCAGUGGGAUGUAGUCUUGGUGGGGCAGGGGGAUGCAGCCUUGUUGGGGCAGUGGGACAUGGCCUUGUUGGGGCAGUGGGACAUGGCCUUGUUGGGGCAGUGGGACAUGGCCUUGCAGGGGCAGUGGGAUGUAGUCUUGCUGGGCAGUGGGAUGUAGUCUUGCUGGGCAGUGGGCCAUGGCUGUGUUGGUGCAGAAGGAUGCUGUCUUGUUGGGGCAGAGGGACACGGCGUUCUUGAAUCCAAGCCAACUGCAUGGCAUGUUCCUCCAAACAAUGCAAUCAAGAGGGCCCUUGUAUGGCACAGACGGAGAGCUCCAGCUAACGACGGGCUCUUUUGUGUGCGCGUGUGCUCUCUGCAUUCGAAACAUUUAUUAUUCCAAAUUGCCUUCUGCACAUUUUACAAUAAUUACGACUAGUGUUUGCCUUGUUAUCUCCACAGUUACUAACAAGAAUGCCAUCAUUAUUCCAGUCAUUAGCAAAAUGGAUGUUGUUGUCCAGAGUUGCCGGCUGUGGGCCUGCUUUCAGAAGGAGUCUCAUGCUCUCCAACCUUGCCUACUCCAUCUUUCUUCCAGGGGAAUAUUGUUGUUCUCAGUAGGUUUGAACCUGAGCGGGCGGAGGGGAAGCAGAGAUUUCAUGAAGAAGAAUUGCUUUGAGGGAGUGCUGGUGGGUGUCAGGAUUCACAGCAGUGAGCACUGGGAAUCUGUUAAUGGCAACAUUAGUAGGAACGAGAGUAAAGGCAGCCAUUUGCCCGUGUUCCUUGUGUAUUUGGUGUAUCUUAGGUCUGCUCCUGCUGCUAGGAUCCAGUAACUCUUCCUGUAAGAAUGUGUUGCUUGGAUGUGAAGAGAUGCUAUUGAUCUUACAAUGGAGGUUGCAGAUGAAGGAGAAAAGGUUGGAAUUAAGCCGACAGCACUCAACUGCUGUAAGCCGGACAUUGCAGAAUGGUGGCUUGCAUGAAGCCAGAGGCCAAGCUCUAUGGUCUGGAGCCUCACAGGGAGUCCUCCAAGUGAAGGAUGAGCCCUGAGCUGCAGGAGAGAUCUACUCCCACUAAACCAACCUCCCGAGGGGACUUGCUUUGUUUGACUGGGUCCGUCAUCCUCAGGAGGAAACUUUCCUCUGCAAGAUGGUGAAAUAGUGCCCAUGUGGAAACGUUCUGACUGCAUGCGCCUGGAGUCCGGCAUUGUUGCAGAGGAGGAGAGCGGCAUAGGAUGGCUCCAAAGAAAAGAGGUCUGCAUCAGAAGGAAAACCUCCUGCCAUGCCAGCUUGCCCAGACCUAACGGUGAGACGGCCUUUCCCAGCUACACUAAGGGCUGCUUCUUGUGGACUGGAAGUAUUGCCAAAGAGUGAGUGAUCCUUAUUAAUAUGCAUCUCCAAAAACAACAGGCAGUCUUGCACAGAUCCUCUCACACGUAUCUUUGGAUUUUGAGACAGUGGAGAGCUAUUUAUUCCCUCUCACACCAAUGUCAGCCAUAGCGCAAGAUGUCUUGAGCUGAUUAAAAAUCUCUUUAAUCAAAUGCUGGCAGGGGAAGUGUUCAGAAUGUUAGAAGGAUGACUUUGACAAGCUGCCCCUGCACUGUGAGUGACUUCAUCCAGAGGUUGGCCCGGCAGACUGGCGUGUGAUACAAAGCCUCCACUCACCUUGAUUUCCAAAGCUGCCAACAAACUGCAGUGACGAUGCUGAGAAGCCAGUAGGGCACUGUAGCCUGUGCUCAGUUCUUCUCCGUUAGAUACUGACCCCCCCAAAAAAAACCUUUGCUACAGGCAAAAUCCAUCACUCGAUUCAUCAACCCCUACCUACGCUUCAAAUUCCUAUAUCCCAAAUCCAUGGGAACGAUUUUGAACAUGAAUGUAGGCUGGAAAUCAUUGCUGUGCAGAUUGUCUGGAGGCUUUUUUUCCCCCCCUGUUCUAUGGCUGAACUGGACUUCAAAAGAAUAAAUAAAAUCCAUUCUGGUAGCACCCCCUCCUCCCCCCCCAACCCCCCAGGAGGAGUGUACUUCUAUGGAGAAAGGACAUAAAGAAACCUCCUGAUAUUUUAUUCAACCAGAAUUAAGUGUUUUGAUUUUGGGGAAUUCAGCUAAUUUUCUUACUCCUCAAAAUAGGUCAGCUUUGAAAUAGAAGAUGUCACGCUGAAAGAAAAAAAAGGGGAAUAGAUUUGUUUAGUGAAUGUAAGAUUAUACAUACAUACUUUUGGAAUUUUAACAAGCUUAUGAAUGGAAAGAAAGCAUCCAGGUUGUUUCUCAGUCAGUUAGACUUGGAUUUAGGACCGGUUUUCACUCUCCAUAAACUGCAUUUCUUUUUCACUUAGAAGAUCCCCUCCCUCCACAAAAGCCCCUUCCCCUUUUGCCAUUGCUGGAAAUAAAUAGCCAUAAUAUAGCUGGAAUUAAUACAGCUACACUGAGUCAACUAAGUGCUGAAUUUUUCUUUCCCAAUGCUCUCUGGGCACCCAGACGUGCUCAAUAGGAAGUGUUGGCACUUGGGGCUACGUAUAGAAAACCAGGGUGUGUGCUGCUGGGGCUGUUAGGGAGGAAAUCUUGUGCCAGCAGCCCUCUGCUGUGGGCCUUCUCCAAGCUUUGUCUCUAUUCCCUCAUUCCUCUGCAGAUGUCCUAAGCCACAUUUUGCUUUCAUUAUGACAAAAAUUGUGCAAGAUACUCAUCUUCUUUUAUUUAUAUAUAUAUAUAUAUAUAUAUAUAUAUGUAUAUGUAUUUUGUAGCAUUUCUGUGUUCCUACACCUUCUCUCUUUGCGGCAUUGCUUGUGGACAUGUAAGUAGUAGGUUAGUUUCUAUUCUUACUCUGGGGGGUUGGGUUCCAAACUGUUUAUUGAGUAAUAAAAAGAGAAAAUGGCGAGUCAUUGCCCAGGGAUAAUGUGCUAAUAAUUUUAUGACUGGACAAAUGGUUGCAACAGCCCACAAAUGGCUGUAGGCAGGAAACCUGGUGUCUAUUGCUGACAGAGCCACCCCCAAGGAGAUAAAACCUCACUUUUGGUGAUCAAAGUUGAUGCAACAACUGUGAUCUAUUAAAAAUUACUUUGGAGAUGGGUAAGGCAAUCAUUAUUCCUCUUGGAAGAGAAGUGGCGGACAUAGACUUUUUGGGAAGUGUUUAGAAGUGAGCUCUACAUGGGAUGAAUGCAACAGACCACCGUGGCUGCUUGCGCUCGGAGCCACGCGGCGCGCAGCUGCAGGGCUGCAGGCUGGGGAUGCUUGGAGAAACAAAGAUUAAAGGGGGGUUAGUGCUAUCAGGCAAACACGAAUCAUCCCAGAGAUAACAAAGGGUUGAAGUUUAUUUAGCCACUAACCGUAUGGCACUCAAGUGCGUUAGCCUGGCUUGACUGCUGCAGAGCAUGGAGCCGGAAUGGCUGCUGCAGGGCGUACACCAGGAUACACCCUGUCCCACUCUGGGCUGAUGUCCCCUGUCUGAUUACUCAAGGAGGAUGUCCCCCUCCUGGCGAUGGGGCAGUUGUCCCAUCGGCACCAAUUUCUUCCUGCUGUUGUGGAGUUUGGUGGGGAAGGAUGAGCAGGGCCCUUGUGAGGUCUCUCUCUGCCCGUCUCCCAGCAGGCAGGAGGAGCUGUACCUCUUCCAAACCCGCAGCAGAUCCAGCCCUCGAAGCGGGCAAGAAGCCAUGUGAUGGGGCGUAGCUGCUCGCAGCUGCCAAGACCUCACAUUUGUAUGUUAGUGAUGCAGAUAGGAUCUCAUAAACCCGUCUCCAUACUGCUUUACUGCUGAUUUAACGAUCAGAGGAAGAACUUGACUGUUUAUUAAAACAUUAGACAGUAAAGUUUAACAAUAGACAGUAAAGGGUUUUGUUUUUCCAUCCCUCUGAUUGUUAAAGCAACAACACAUAGGCCUGGAGAGGGGCCUGCUGCUAACCUCAGGAUGAUGGGAUGGGGCCAUGAAGCUCCUCCAGAAGGCAGGAUAGAGCAGCUGGCAUUCUGGCAAAUCCCAUAUCUGAAGAAGGAAAUCUGAUGUAGGGUAUGGGUGCGUGCCCCAUCACCGGAGGCGCUGAGGGCUGGGCUGGAUGGGGCCCUGGGCAGCCUGAGGUGGUGGGGGGCAGCCAGCCCAUGGCAGGGGUAGGGCUGGGUGGGCUGUAAGGUCCCUUCCAACCCAACCAUUCUGUGAUUCUAUGAGUCUGACUGUGAGAAGGGGCAAUCCAAUUGCUCUGUGGGCAAGGGUCUCGUGGUAGGGCUCCUGUUGUUCAGCAGACCCGCAAACACCGGCAAAGGGAGCAGAUGGAAACAAAACUCGCAAGGCAACAGCAUUAUUCAGGACAGUGCCAACGAAAGCUGACUGCGAAGAAACGCCGAAGGAUUGCAGCGUGCAGGUGAUGAAAUGGCAGAGGAAAUUCAUUGUUGGUAACUGCAGAUAGAGAAAAAUCAGCAGUGGCUGUACCCAUACAGCAGCACCAUCUCAAUGAGCUAUUGCCUCUCUGGAAGGAGGCUGUGGAGGCAAGGCAGGCUGUUUCUGGAAACGUCAGCAGUGAUCACAAAGGCAGUGGCCAUUCUAGGAGUUACGGAGGAAGAAAUGGAGAGUAAAACAGGCUGCCAUUGUGCUGCUGGGUGCAUCCACAGUGCAUCCCCAUCCGAGGUGCUGCCCCUGCUUCUGGUGGCCGUGUCUUGGGGCCAAGGGAAGAUGGAAGAGGAGUUACAGGGACUUCAUAGCAGGACCUCGAGAACUUGAGCUGAAGUGGACAGAUCUGGAGGAGAAGAUGAGAGGAAGAAAGCCCUGGGUGGCUUGGAGGAGUUGGACGUGGAGCUGGACAAGCAUCUGCUCUGUGUCUGUGCUGAUGCUAUUUAGAAACCCCAGCCUUGGCUCUGCUUGACAUUUGGUAAUGCUGAACUGGGACAGCACCCAAAAAACCCCAUCCGUGUUGGACCGUCAGUAAGAGGUGGCACAUCUGACCAAAACCACGUCGCCAUUUGCUUCCUUGACAGCACAUCCUACCUCAUCCCCUGUCCUUGUCCUGCUGACCCCCGUUCCCAGCCUCCCUUGCUCAAUUUCAGCAGCAUCUUGGGAGGCCCCUUCAGCUGCAAGCCCCUCGCUUGGGAAAGAAAGCGGGGUUGGAGGGGGGGGAUCAGAGCCCAGCUGUGGGCUGGGGCAGCAGGCGAGUGCUUUCCAAACGCUGACUGCUGUUGGUGUAUUUCUGCUGGUGAGGAUGCAGCUGGCAGCGUUUGUGUGCAUGCGUUUAUAUACACACACACACACACACAUACUCACCUCCACACGAGUACACGACUAAAAUACAUAUAUUUCCUCACCCCGCAUCUUUCUGCAAGCUGCAAAAAUACAAAAGAAUAAAAUUAAGUCUCUUAUCGCUGCUAAGUCAUCAGAAACUAAUAUUGCAUCUACCGGGCAGUUUUCCCCCUCCCUCCCCCAAACCAUCUCCACUUCGCAAUCCUAAUUCAAUGAUUCUUUCUGUAGCUCUUUACAUUCUAUUAUUUAUAAGAAACAAUAUUCAGCCCUCCCCUGACAGUAUUUGCAGGGCUGCGGGAAGCAGUGCGGCAGAAAGGUGGUAGAACAAUUUUGGUUAUGUUUCCAUAGCUACCUAGCUGCUAAAUGUGGUUUAUUCCAUUUUAAAGUCAACCAACACACACCCGCACGCACACGCACAAACCACCAGAUGAAGUGUAUUCAAACUAAUCCCUGGGCCGCCUAUUACAGCCUAAUAUCCCUGCCAUUUGUAUAUUUAAAGGGAUAGUUGCUGCAGAAAUAAAUGGCAGGGCAGCGCUCUCGCUGGCUAGAGCAGGAUGAUCAACAUAUUGUUUCUUUCUUGCUCUCCUCUCCGACGUGUGUGUUCCACUCCAUCCCUGUAAUAUUAUUAUGGAGAUUUUUACCGAGGGCUGAGAGCUGAGGAAGUCGGAGGUAGGAUGGUGUCCUCUCGUGGCAGUCAGCAUCUCUGCAGCCUGAUGGUAGCCGUGCCAAGAGAGAGCCGAGCAUGGGCUCUCCUGGGCAUGCACGGCUGUCUUAGGGACAAAACUCUUGGAGCAGAGCUUCCCACCUCCCCUAGUGCACCCAAAGACGAGGAGCCUCCUGCUUCUGCUCCACGCCAGGCUGGAGGCUGCUGCUUGCUCUCGCUUUCCCUGCGUGAAAGAAGAACCCUUGGGAAAGGAGUGGUGGGUACCAGCUUUGCAGAGCGGAGGAAGUUUGUCCCAUGGAAGUGAGCAUCUCUGAGCUGCCGUGGGUUGGUGGAGAACAUCUCAGAGCUUGUAAUCAGUGCCUCAUAAAUCACCGCUGACUGCCGGGAUCGCUUUGGCCGCUCUUCCCCAUCGUCCUGUCUGCAGGAAUGGGCUGCAUGUUUCCACGUGGAUCGGGUCUGAAUUGGCUGUCUGAACCCAGAGAUUAAAGAAACAGCAGCCUCUCUCUCUCCUGUAACUGGCCCGAGAAUCCAUGAGCAUCCUCAGAAGUCUGAAGAGAAUGGGCAUCCUGUCUAUAUCCAAGGCAGGUAAUCACUGUAAAGGGUGGCUGGAAGGGCAAAAGCUGCAUUUCCCCACGCUGGGGGCUGCGGAGGAGGCAGAGGCAGAUACCUGGGGCUCCCUGGCAGCGCUUGCUGAAGAUCAGCCUUGAUCAGAACAGGUCUUCUCACAGGAAACAUCAACUUUUUGUCAAAAAAGCCUGAAGAUAAAUAUUCUUGGAUGAAAACCUAUAAAAAGCUCAGACUGACAAACUAUUUUUUUUAGGCACUUCUUUUUCUCCCAACAAGAAUAUAUCUGUCAAGAGAAACAGAUGUUCUCUAUGAAGAAUCUUCUUUAAUUACAAGUCUGUCAAAAAGAGAAAUCUUCAAGUGUCUCAAGCCUCAAAUCUGCGAAUGGCUUCAGCCCUGGGCAAGAAAUCACCCCUUUCCUGAGCAGCCCCAGUGCCCUUUCUCAGCUCUUGUCAUGUCAUCCCUGCAGCUGCACCAAUAAACUGGGCAUUUUUGGAGUUUAGUUUUCAGAUGAGCCCGCUUCAAAUCAAUGGAGCUGCUGCUUUUCGUGACUCCUGGGAAUAAGAUGGCGUGGAAACAACCCACGGCCAUGCCCAAAUAAGAAAACUAAAAGAAUUAUUGGUUUUGGUCAACCUGGAACAUGGCUCUUUUUGCCCUGACAUUUUCCUAGAGGAAAGUGAAACUCUUCAUCUACAGAUUCAAAAAGUCCCAAAGGCACUCUGUCAGACAUCUCCCAACGUGCUCUCUCAGUUAUUGCUGGAUGGAUCAGAAGUUCUCCAGGGAGCAGUGAAGAUGUUUUUGCGGGCUACAAAACCUCAAAGGCUGAAAAUACUCAAUUCCAGUGUCUGCUUCUUGCUUCCAGAGGAGAUAUCUGCUCUUUGUCUUCAUCUUCAUCGUCAUCAUCUUUGUCUUUGUCUUCAUCUUUGUCUUUGCUUUGUCUUUGUCCUCCUUCUCCUUCUUUCUCUCUCUCCUCUUCCUCUUCCUUUUCCUCCUUCCUCCAGCUCCUAAAUCCCCACCUUCCCUUGACCCCCCCUCCUUUCCUUCUCCCCAUCAUGCAUUGCAUGCUGAAUGCAGGAGGCUCUCAAAGGCAAGAGUCGGCCUGGGACACUCUUACCCACAAUAGCAGUGGUGAACAGAACCCAGGUUUUCAGCCAGGAAAUUUCACUGGUAAUCUCCUGCGAGGGAGGCGCUCCCAUUUUUCAUGAUGGUUGGCCCUUGCGGGAUAUGGAUGAAAAGAGAAAGCAUUUCAUUUGCUCUUUGAAAACUGGAGCUAUAGAUCAAGGCCCUGCUCAGUCCCCUGAAGACUAGAAAUGGGAUUUUUGCAAGAAUUGAGGCUAUCCUCUCUGAAAACUAAAACAGUUAUCUACACUUUCAUCGAGAGGUCAGCAGUAGAGAUUUUUCUCCAACAGCUGGAUAAAUCCAGGCUGUUAGUGCCUCUCCUUCCCACUGUUCUCUGUUAUUGCUUUUCAUUACGUGAAGGGUGAGGAACAAGCAAAUACCUCUGCUUUCUAGCUUUGCCCUUGCCCGUUUGUACAAAGCAGCCAAACAUUUCCUUCUGACACUCAGGACCCAAGCACCUUUGGUGUCUGAUGUUUCUCCUUGGAUGCCAUGGUCUGGAUGCAGUUGCUCAGGGCUGCUUAAUCCUACCAGAUGGCAUAGAAAUGUUAUUUUUUGGACACAGGCACUCUUCUUGCCGGAUAUGGGUGCCACGGGACCAGGGCAUCCUUUGUCGCCUGGACCCAGUGUGAUCUCCUGUAACACUGGGCAGGAGGGUUUGCAGAAUCACGCUGCAUCCUGCGUCCCUGAGCCUUGCAGCCAUAAAUCCUUUGCCUCUGCCACAACUGUGAUUGAGCCUGCCUGGCUUAAUUUAUUUCUCCAGAGCCCACACAGUUAUGGUAGAGAUGAUUGCCUGCUCAAGGAGCAGCACUUGGGAUGAAAUCUUUUCCUCUUGAGAGUGCUGCUGGAAAAACAAGGCAGUGUCCGUGAGCUGCCAGCAAUCCCCAUGUAGGCAUUGUCUUUGCUUGGCCACUUCUUUGCGGUGCUCUCAUCCUUCCUGACCUCUCCCCUUCUCUCCCUUCCUUUAAGUCCUUUUCUCUCUGUUUCAUUUCUACCUAUGUCUCUUCCUCUUCAGGUUCCUCGCUAGGCACUGGAGCUGAUUGCAGUGGUGAUCCAGCAAAUCACAGUAGUGAUGCUGCUGAUGGAAUAACUCCUUGGGGUUCCACACGGUUGCUGUGCGGGCACUGAGUUUCAAACUGCAGAAAAGGAGCAGGAAAGCCUGAUAUUUGGGUGCAUCAACUGGAGCUUUCAUCCCCACCCCAGGGAGAUGGGUUUUGGAGCCCUAGCAGCCUGCCCACCCUAUGGACAUGGCCAGAUACCCCCAGUUCCUUCCCAAGCACUGCUACCCAGAGAGGUGCUCUGUCCUGGCUAUGGGAGUUGAGCACGAAUAACUCACAAAUAAUGGAAAUCCCCACCAUGUGCCCCCAGCAUUGGCACGGCUCAGAGCCCUGCAAGAAGCGCGCUGCCUUGUUUGUCACCUGAAGCACUUGGAAAAAUUACACAAAUCCAUCAAUGUAAUGAAUCUUCUCAGCAGUGGCGAAUAGACAGAGACAGACAGGCACUCAGCUGAAACAAGUCAUCUUUAAAAAUUAAUACAAAAUAAACAGCUGGCCUUUCGCUCCGCUUCCAGGUGGCGGCUGCGUGGUUUGGGCGAGGGCUGGGCAGGGACCAAUGAUGGUUCCCAAUGGGAUCACGUCCCUGGGGCAGGGAAGUGUCCUCUGCCGUGUCCCUGUCACUGUCACAGUGUCACCUCCAUCUGCUGCUGCUCCAGGAAUGGUGGUGCAGCGCGGCAGUCAGUGUUGCACUGCGUGAGUGACUGCUUAAGAAACAGCCAAAUCUUUGGGAAUGCCAAAGCCUCAUCACCUCCCUACAGCCUUGCCAGGCUUCUGCCAGCCCUCUGGGCUCUCACAUCAGUUUGUCAGUGUCUGAUGGAGCUUGUACACUCCUCAGAGGACAGGCUGAGCUUGCUCUCCUGCUUGUCACGAUGUGGGCUCCAUAAAUAAUUAACAGUGGUGCUGCUUCUGCCCCCGAGCUUUCAUUUCAUUACCCAGGAAUAACAUACCCACCUAUAUACGUGUGUAUGUACAUGUCUGCGUGUAAUACGCAUCCAUAUGUACUUACAUUGCUUAAACAUCUGUUUCACCGGCCAGCCUCUCUGCUUUUCCUUCGGCCAUUGCUCUGUCUCCCUGCUGGUCCCAAGGGCAGGCAAGCAGCAGAAGGCGCUGCUCUCGACCGUGAGCAUCCCACCAGUGCUCCAGCUGCUCCUGCUCUGAGGCCAGGCUAUUUAUGAGGUACCAUGGGGCUGCCCUUGCCCUGCAGAGUGUGGGGAUGGAGAGCGGGGAGGAAGACGGAUGGAUCCUGAAUUGAGGUGAAUUUAUGGGGCUUUGCGAUUCCUGCUGCUGUAUGUCUCCGAGAAAUGACACCGCCACUUCAGGAGCAGAGAUUAAUCUGAGCCGGCAGGAGAAGGACAAAACAAAUCAUCUACUGCAGGAAUCUCAUUUGAUGCCUGUUAGUAAAAGCACUGCGAUGAAUGGCUUUUGUAAAGACCGCGUAGUACAGGCUUUUUUUUUUUCCUCCCUUUUCUCCAUUCGUCUGCAAAUUGAGGUCUGUGAGGUGUGUGGUGGAGGCACCCCAGGGUCACUCAUGGCCAGGCACAGGACAAGGACUCCCAGCAGCUUUGUGCACUGUGAGACAGGAGAGCAAAAAAGGGAAGGCAGAGCUCCCAGCGCGUCGUACCCAAGGAAGGAAUCCUUCGCUUUUGUUUUUAAAAGGGCAUUGAUUCUCACGUCCUGCAGAACACGGGGUCGGGGCAGCCUGCAGCCCCAGACAGAACAUCCCAGUGCUGCUCUGCAUCCCAGCCAGCAGCAGCUGGAUGCGGCCCAGUGGGAGCAGUACCAGCACCGAGCACUCCUCCCGCACGCCGCUGUGCAUCCCAGCUCAAUACAGAAUCAAUUGGAUUGAUCUUUUUUUAAGGUGCAGCCUCCGAACGGCUGAGACUGUGAGAGACGUGGCUAAGCACGCACUUCCACAAAAUAAUUUGUCAGGCCCCGCUGUAGAAACCUAAUGAUGGCUGUAAUUUAUUGCUGACAGACGAUAUUUAUCACCGCAGCAUCCCCUCUUUCUCUUCCUCUGUCUCGUUAGGAAUGGCAUCAAUAAUGUUUAUUGUAGCUUUUAAUUUUUUAUCGCUGGUAUUCUUACCUGUGCUGCUGAGGGCUGCAGGAGAUGGGAAAGGCGUCAGAGCAGAUGGAGGCUCAGCUCUGUGCUGAAGGGUGAGCGAUGAAGGCUGGAAGUUCCUCCUGCGUGCCCAUGCAGGGAGCGUGCAGUGCCAGAGAGCACCCCGAUAGCAGGGAAAAGUGAGCUGUUCCCAUAAAGCUUACUCCCUCUCUUCUGAGCCUUUGGACCUGUGCAAGGGAUGCUCAGACCCAGCAAAGCAGUGGCAUUGCUUUGGUUUUCCCCAGACGCUGCUCCCACGUGGGGCUGGAGAAGGAACAUCACCCCUCCGCUGCUGCACCUGCAUUGCUGCGAUCAUCUCACACCUGAUGAUGCCCACAAGCCCUGUGGUCACAGUUCUUGUCCCUGAAAGCAACCAAAACCCCAACUCCAAUCCUGAAAUCUCCUUUUUUUCCCCUCGUUUUCCUACAGUUUUUCCUACCCUUGAGGAAAUGUGCUGCACCAGGUUGUGAUGCCCUAUAAACCAGCACUUCCCAGAGGGGAUUUCUUCCCCCUUUCCAGACGUGAAUAAUUACCCAGGCAGAGGCUGUUCCAGCCUCGUUACAGGAGCCUCUCAGACUAGCCGGUCAUUUACAGAUUAGAUAGAUGUUGCCCACGUUGUUCAUAACUGAUUAUGGGAUUGGCAGUUUGGCUCUCACCCAAAAUUCAGAGUCCUGAUUUAGCAUAAUUGGAAGUGAAUGGCGGAGCAGGCUGGGGGAUGGGGAUGGUGCCUGCUGCUGAUUUCCUAAUGCCGGCUUUGGGGAUCCCUGACAAGCUGCGGAGUGCUCUUUAUAGGGCAAUAACGUUUAUGGUGUGGGUUGUCUGGGGGAGGAACUCCUGUGAUGGCAGCAGCCACCUCCUGCACGUCCCAGAUCGAAGCUGGAGAAAUCAAGAAUACCAGAAGAGCAACG